UACGGGAGGUGCAAGCGUUACUCGGAAUUACUGGGCUUAAAGCGGGCGCAGGCGGGAUAGCAAGUGUCUUGUGAAAGCCCUCGGCUCAACCGGGGAAUUGCUUGGCAAACUGCUGUUCUUGAGGCGGUUAGAGGUGAGUGGAACGAGUGGUGGAGCGGUGAAAUGCGUAGAUAUCACUUGGAACGCCGGAGGCGAAAGCGGCUCACUGGAUCCGUUCUGACGCUGAGGUCCGAAAGCGUGGGGAGCAAACAGG
rnacentral:rRNA from 1 species